CUGCAGGGAGCCAAAAAAAAGGUCCUGUUAAUGUAUUCCAACGUAGACAUGCACCCAAAGGAAGCCUGAGAUAACUAUGCAGGGUUUAUUAGGUCCAGAGGGGAAAUCCGUGCCUAUUUUAUAAGGCUUGUGUUGCAUUCGCUUCCAGCCUCCCAACUUCUCUUUGGAGGUGCAGUGUCUAAAUGAAACUCAAAUAUUUGCUCAAAGUUGUGCACGAGAUGGGACUUGAGCUGCACAGCACAGCAAUGUGUAGGAGACGACCCCUUCACCCUGCAGGAUGCCCUAACCCACUACCACUAGAUGCUUCUGAUGUCACAUGCGACAUCAGACAGUACUGCUCCUCUAAGACAAAUAAAAAAUGUUCCCAUGCACAGAUCAAGGACCCAGGAUUACAACCGCCUGAAUAGAAUAUGACAGCCAGUCAGCAAAAUGACAUCAACUGGGAAGAAGCAGAACAUACAGUUAAAUAACUAAGUCCCUCUGGUGGCUGAUCACAAACAUUGACUCCAUGAGCCUGAGUUUGAGUUCAGCUCAGUUGGAAAGAGGUUUGACAGAGCAGAUAUCCUGCUUUCUAAAAGA